rnacentral:rRNA from 1 species
AUUGAACGCUGGCGGCAUGCCUUACACAUGCAAGUCGAACGGCAGCACGGGUGCUUGCACCUGGUGGCGAGUGGCGAACGGGUGAGUAAUACAUCGGAACAUGUCCUGUAGUGGGGGAUAGCCCGGCGAAAGCCGGAUUAAUACCGCAUACGAUCUACGGAUGAAAGCGGGGGACCUUCGGGCCUCGCGCUAUAGGGUUGGCCGAUGGCUGAUUAGCUAGUUGGUGGGGUAAAGGCCUACCAAGGCGACGAUCAGUAGCUGGUCUGAGAGGACGACCAGCCACACUGGGACUGAGACACGGCCCAGACUCCUACGGGAGGCAGCAGUGGGGAAUUUUGGACACUGGGCGAAAGCCUGAUCCAGCAAUGCCGCGUGUGUGAAGAAGGCCUUCGGGUUGUAAAGCACUUUUGUCCGGAAAGAAAUCCUUGGCCCUAAUACGGUCGGGGAUGACGGUACCGGAAGAAUAAGCACCGGCUAACUACGUG